UACGUAGGUGGCAAGCGUUGUCCGGAUUUACUGGGCGUAAAGCGCGCGCAGGCGGGCUGGCCAGUCUGGGGUGAAAUCCCACGGCUCAACCGUGGACGUGCAUCCGAAACUGCUCGGCUCGAGUAUGGAAGAGGGUCGCGGAAUUCCCGGUGUAGAGGUGAAAUUCGUAGAUAUCGGGAGGAACACCAGUGGCGAAGGCGGCGACCUGGGCCAAUACUGACGCUGAGGUGCGAAAGCGUGGGGAGCAAACAGG
rnacentral:rRNA from 1 species